AAUCAACGCUGGCGGCGUGCCUAACACAUGCAAGUCGAACGCGGUUACUCCGCAAGGGGUAAUUGAGUGGCGAACGGGUGAGUAACGCGUGGGUGACCUACCUUCGAAUGGGGGAUAACGUCCCGAAAGGGACGCUAAUACCGCAUAACAUCCUGCCUUUGAACAGGUGGAGAUCAAAGCCGGGGAUCGCAAGACCUGGCGUUUGAAGAGGGGCCCGCGUCUGAUUAGCUAGUUGGUGAGGUAACGGCCCACCAAGGCGACGAUCAGUAUCCGGCCUGAGAGGGCGGACGGACACACUGGGACUGAGACACGGCCCAGACUCCUACGGGAGGCAGCAGUGGGGAAUUGUUCGCAAUGGGCGCAAGCCUGACGACGCAACGCCGCGUGGAGGAUGAAGGUCUUCGGGAUGUAAACUGCUGUCAGGGGUGAGGAAUAAGUUGACCAACCCCAGAGGAAGCAUCGGCUAACUCCGUGCC
rnacentral:rRNA from 1 species